rnacentral:rRNA from 1 species
UACGGGGGGGGUAAGCGUUGUUCGGAAUUACUGGGCGUAAAGGGCUCGUAGGCGGCCAACUAAGUCAGACGUGAAAUCCCUCAGCUUAACUGGGGAACUGCGUCUGAUACUGGAUGGCUUGGAUUUGGGAGAGGGAUGCGGAAUUCCAGGUGUAGCGGUGAAAUGCGUAGAGAUCGGGAGGAACACCCGUGGCGAAGGCGGCCUGCUGGGCCGAUCCUGACGCUGAGGCGCGAAGGCGUGGGGAGCGAACGGG